AGACAUAGGAACCUAACAGCUCCCAGAAGCCAGACUGAGAAAGAAAAGCAUAAAGGACACGCAACAGCAUGAUGCCUGAGCAAGGAAUGUGGAUGGAGAAGGGAAUAUUGGACAAGGUCAGGACCGCCACUUCUAGAGAAAUGUGAUACCGGGACAAGAUAUGACUAAAAAUGUCUGCAGAGCAGCAGAGAGUGCCUACCUCAAUGCUAGCGAUAUAACACAUACCCAGCAGAAGGUUGAUAGCAUAUAAACAACUACAUUUUCAACUUGGCCUUUAUGAUGUCCCUGCUUCUGGAUUUUGUUUAGUUCUUCUGCUAUUUUCCAGGUAGAAGUAUGAUAGUUGAACUUUAUUGUGCUCUAGAAAAAGCAAUAAACCCUUCUGCAAACUUCAUAAGAUAGCACAGUAAAAGGAACUCUACACCAAGAGGACAUUUUCCCUUCAAAAUAACAAAGCAGAACACAAAGUAAAUCAAAGCAUAUAAACGGAGAAAGGAAUUCCGUUGCCUUUGAAAUUGAACUCCAGAAAUAAUUUACUUAAAAAGAGUUCCUCAGAUAUAGCUUGAAGUCUAAAGACAAUCAUUGAUCAUCAACUGGUAUUCUCUUACUCCAUCAGCACUCCAGAUACAAAGCAAGAGAAAACCCAGAGUAAAAAAUUUAAAUGGACAAUAUUUCAUCUGCAACCUGGAAAGUCUUCUAUGCUUGCUGUUGUAUUGACUUUCCUACUUAUCUCAGAAAAUUGUGCAUUUAAUCAUCUCUCUCUAUUUUCUUUGACUCUUUUCCAGUGAGAGAGUAUAAGAUUGUUUACCUAAAGACCUCGAAGUCUAGCAAGAUAGGAAGCAAGUUGUUACUUAAGCAGGUUGGGGGGGCAUUAUGGGCACAAUGAAAAUUAAUCAUUGGUUCUCUUUGCCUAUCAAAAUACAUCGUUCACAUAGGACCCCUUUCCCCAAUAAAUUUAGAUCAUGCCUACUCUAGAAAAGGAAUCACAGCAUUGUCACUUCUUGAUGUUGUGAAGUAAUUUGUAAUGCGCAGAAAUGAUUUGAAUACAUGUCCCAACAGAGCUUUGUGAAGGAAACUCAAAGCUAUUCUGACAUAAUAGCAAAUGAUAGCAGAGAAGGGACUGAAGCACUGCAGCAAACCCAAAAUUGUUCCAAUAUUCAGCUGCUAGAACAAAAAAGAAAAGCCUCACUACUGAACCUUUUUCAUUUCGUAUAGCUGCUCAAAAUUUAGAAAACUCAUAGACCAUAAUCCAUUAAAACAGCAUCUAUUACAUCAAGUUCUAAUUGCUAAACUUGCUGGUAAAUCCUUGGGGUAAAGAGAUUGGAACUCUUCCAUUUUCAAUAAAGAUUAUUUGUAAAACUAAAAAAAAAUCCAUGAGACAAUCUGAUAGAUGUCUCAUUAUUCCUGA
rnacentral:lncRNA from 1 species